rfam:Camelus ferus unplaced genomic scaffold scaffold519, whole genome shotgun sequence.
GAGGGUAUAGCUCAGUGGUAGAGCGCAUGCUUAGCAUGGGUUCAAUCCCCAGUACCUCCA